ACCUACUUAUGAUUAUCUAUCAAUUGAAUUAUAGCCUCUUCUAUUGUAAACAUUAUUAGUUAUAUCCGGAUUAGAUUGUUGUCAAUCAGAGUAAUGAUGAACCAAAAGACCUCAUCACUUAUAGUGCUCAUGUGUGCUUAAAUUUUCCUCUUCCAACCGUCAAGAUAUUUUGUAGCUCAUAUUGUCUCACUAACUCAUUAAGAUUAUGUAAUUUUCGUCAUUUCAUCCCAUUUUGCUUGAAAACCAAUCAAUAUCAAUUACAAAAGCUAAUGCAUAUAUUGGAUGCAAGUUUACUGAUUUUGCACUAAAGGGUUCAUAAUUCAAUUGGCUACCAGGUUCAAUCUGAACUUCACAAGUAAAACUGUACCUUGAACAGCCUAAAUAUCUCACAAUCUACAUUAUUUGUAACUAGAGACUUUAAUAGCCAACCUCUAAAUCUUAGUUUUAUCUUCAUUUAGGCUUACAACGGAAUCUAAUAAAGCUUGAUAACUUUUGAAUUGAACAUCUUAAACGGUUGAAAAAUAAUGGCUCAUCAUCAAACAAGGGGAGUUUCAAAGUGGUACAAAAUUUUCCAACUUUUGAGCAUAAAAUAUCUGAUUCUAUAAGUUUUUUUAUUGGUCAGAUAUGAAUUUUGAUAUUUCUUACACAGGUUAAUGUUGACUAUGCAUAAAUAGUAAAAUCUGAUUUUAUCAUUUCAAAAUAGAUCAACACUAACCGCAAUCAGCUUGACCUAUUCAAAAAUAGCAACUACGUAUGGUAACUCUUGAACCAAAAAUUGAUACGAAAAGCUUGACCCAUUAGAAUAUUUUUUGCUCAAAGAAAUAUUGUAACAUCUGGAGAUUCUCCUUUGCUUAUCAUUUGACAUGAAUAUCGAGAAAACGUGCCAAGAUAAGAUUACUAUCAAAUGUACUUUCCAUUGUAACAACUGAUUUUAAUCAAUGAUCAGGUAUAUCUAAUUUAAACGGUACAGAUCUUUAGAUUAGAUCAUAAGAUUCUUGAUCCAUAUCUGUCAAGAUUCGUAUCAAAAGACUUUCCAGUCAGUCAGUUGUCUUGAUUACCUUUAAAAAGUAGUCAUUUAAUUACAUCAAUCUGUCAAAAUUGAAUCCACUGUCAACCGUUGAUGUCUGAAACGGUGAAAGUACGAAAGAAUUACCUUUUGAAUAAACUUUCUUAUUUUUUGUUAACAUUUAAACUUUCGAUCAUCUUUUUGAUUAUAGUUUUAAUUGCUUUCUCGAAGUGCUUCAUCGUUCAUACUGAAGUUAAGCUGCUCAACUAAAGGAAAGCUUUAGGAAAAGUGGACACUCCAAUGGCCAAUCCAAUAAUUAUCCAGUUUAUCCCAAAUUGAAUAAUAAUCAGCCCGGCGGUUCAUUCAAAAUCAGAGGAAUUGGUCCAUCAUGCAAAUUAGUAAAGGAACAGGGUUAUGAUGAAAUUGUAUGCCCUUCUGGUGGCAAGGUUAGAGUAGCCUCAGCUUAUGCAGUGCGGGUGUUUAAAUUAAAAGAUAUCACUGUCAUAUUCAAAAUGAAAGAUUGCCACCAGGAGUGAACAAAAAGGCGCUCGAGUGGUUCUCUAUGGCAAUAAAUCGGAUGAAUCAAUUGAUUGUGCCAAGUAUUUAGCCUCAGAUAAGACCUAAAGACGUGACUUGAUCCAUCCUUUGAUGAUCAGGCAAUUUGCUGAGUAUUUUCCAACCAAGACCAACCAGGCUGAUAAGGAGGAGACAGAAACGUUUUUGAGUACUUACAGAGCACUUGAUUAACCAGAUUCAUCUCACAGUGAUCAACAUCUGAAAGUGCAAUCUCUUCAAGAGUUAAACUCUCCAAGAUUACCUGGAUCAAUUCAUUUCAGAAAGAUUCCAUUCAAUCGAAUAUAACAAUAAUGUAACAAUAAAAUCAUCAAAUAUAAAUUGCUGUGAAAUAUUGAGAUGAUAAAGAAGAGAUUUAUUGUUUAAUUAACCAAUAAGCCUGAAAUGUGAUGUAUCCAGAUAAUGAAUAGAGAAGUACAUCGCUCAAUGACAGUUUAAUAUGGACAAACACUUACCGAAAUAAAAUAUCAAAUUAUAACUGCGAUUGUUGCUGUUAGAUGUUGUUCAAGCGCCCUUUACUCCUUUUAAUUCCUUUUAAUUCCUUUUAAUUAACGGGCAAAGAACCAGAAAAUUUAAUGUUAUUACACAAAAUGUUUUGAAUAUUGUUGCCUCAAACUAAUCAACUGUUGGUUUGUCUUAUGGGAAACAAAUUGAAAGCCACACGAUCCCAUUAACGGCAGAUAAAAACGUAUUAUGUACUUAAAAGAUAUAAUCAUUUUUCACGUUAAACGUUGAAACAAAAUGUAAUCAAACAAUUUUACUCAAACAAAAAGUGAAAUAAAGUGAAUGGGGAUUUUUGGUCAAGUUAUCAAUUUAUUGACUGUUAUGAGAUCCAAAUAGACACGUUUACAAAUUAAUUGUUUUCAUAUUAAUUGUUAAUAAAAUAUUAUUAGAGAAAGGCAAAGAAUAUUCUUGAUAAAGAUUUAUUCUAGAUUUUUUCUGUUCAUAUCAGCAUACAAAUGAUUUUUUAGGAAUAUUUUGAGACCAUUUUGCUUGUUUGAAACGACCAAUUGUUUAAUUGUUAACAUCUUAGAAAAAAAAUUUUCCGAUUAAAACCAAGAAAAAAUUUAUCAUAACAAAAUCAUUUCGGUAAAGUUUUAUGAACUUGAAAAUAUAUUGAAUUGCCCAAUCUAAUACAGUUAACUGCAAUGCACUUGAAUUAAUUGACCUAUUUUUGAAUAAAAAGUCAUGUCUUGAGCAUAAAAAUGAAUAGAUAUCGUACAUAAUCUUGAAUAUUUUGAAUAUGUUUUUGAACAUAUUGCUGCAGUUAUCUGGUUAUUGUAUUACAAUUAAAAAUUAAGUAUGGAAGUAAUUGCGAGAAAUUAAAGUAAUAAAAGUAAUUUGUUUACCCGUUACGAUGAAAAUUAAAACCUGGCAAAUAGUCGUGCAUUGUCCAAUGUUAAUUGUUAUCUGGUUAUGUUGGGUUAUCGGUUAACAGU